AUAAAAAAACUUUAUUAUAUCUUUUAGUAGCAGGAUUUUGUGUAUGAAUUAUAUAAUUGUCAGUAUGCAUUUUUCUAAACUGUAGUUUCUGGACCAGAAAACCAUGUUUAAGUCACUCUGGGCAUUAAAAUUAAAUGGGUAAAUUACUUGACUGCAUCAACUGGCAGGGUCAUCCUGCAGCAGAAUACAGAGUUGUGAAAUGAAGUAUUAGUAUAUCUUUAAUUUUGAAGCAGUGUAAAAGUUAUUCAAAGGGGAUUUUUUUAUUUACUUUAGUUUUAACCUGGUAAGUGAACAAAAACUGAGGAAUCAAAAUGUGGAAGGUUUAAAAUACUCCAUCAGCAACCAAAAGUUGCACAGACAUUUCAGUUUUUAUGCAGAAGAAGUAAAGCUUGAUGAAAGACUUUUUAGCCACAAAAAUGAGUCACCUUAAUUAAGAUUACUAACCUUUUCAGUAUCUUGUACUUCUCUGAAGCACUUUUUAAGUUUCAAAAAAUCUAGCUUCCUCCAAGACAGUUCAAAGGAAUCACAGAAAUUUCUCAAACAAAAAUCUGAUGCCAAAUAAAGUUUGCAAUUUGACCAGGCCUGUCAUGUUAAUGCCAAUGAAAACCAAUGGGUAAAGCAGGCCUCUCAUUGAAACGGAGUCAGUACUGCUCUACAAAUAAGAAGCAAUUGCUUUAGAAAGUUUUAGAAUGUUUGUAGAUAGUUUCAUUUGGGAAUUCUUCUCUCAGACCAAAAUAUGAGACCCUGAGAAGAGUUCGGUUGGUUAGAGGAUGGUGCUAAUAACGCCAAGAUUGUGGAUUUCAUCCCUGUACGGGCCAUUCACUUCAGAGUUGGACUCGGUGAUCCUUGUGGGUCCCUUCCAGCUCAGAAUGUUCUGUGAUUCUGUGAAAUAUCUUGGUUUUUUCCUCCUCUAAAAAGCACUAGCCAAACACGGUUGAAUGCUUACUUUCAUGACAGCUUGGCAAAUAGCACCAGUCAGCAACAAUUAAAAUGAUGCAAACCAAUAAAAUUAUGCAAUAAGGAAAGCUAGGGAUGAUAAUAGAUAAUGAUAAUCAGUAUUAACAUAUUGAUCCAAACAGUCCACAGAACAUCCACAGGAGCUGUGGCUGCCCAUUCCCAGCAGGGCACAGCAGAGGGGCUGUGUGAGGCUGGGGAAACCGCUCUGGAGCCUAUCUCCAUUCCUUCCCUCAAGGUGUCUGCCCCGCCCAGGCACUCACCUUCCUACCACCCAGGGCCUCAAAGUGGCUCCGCAGUUCUUCCACAGUGGCAGGGACGUGCUCCAUCGUCUGAGAGCUACCUGAGGUCUCCUCCUUGGCCACGUCCAGCCUUCUGCUGUCUGAUGGCACCUUCUCCAGGGUGUUGCUGCAGCUGAUCUUAUCUGGCACCAGGGAUGGUGGAGCUGAUUGAUACAGCUGUCUGUAUUGUGGAAUGAGUCACAGCAUUUUAAUGCAGCCAGGAGACAGAAGGGCUACUGCAUUAGCUGAGAGAGUACUUGGAUAGUCUGGAAACACAACCCAGGGCAGUUCUGCUAAUUGCACUGUAACUCUUCUGUCAGUACGCUUGGGAAGGAAAAUUGCCAUUCUGUCAUUUUGCACCAGUUGCUGAUAUCUGCUCCUCUUUUCCUGAAAUCAGCUCCCAAGUGGUUUGAUUUUGAGGUUUUCUGCCCUGUAGCAAAUACUCAAAUUUCUUUGAUUUCAGACUAUCUGUAUACUAAAAGUACUGCUUGGAGAAGGAUGUUAAGCUUAUUGAACGUGAAGGGACUCUGUUGGUGGAGAAAUAGUACCUGAAAUGGCUGCUUGCCACACGAGGAUACAGAAGAGUGUCAACUGCAUGGGUACAUACAGAAAUUUCUGCUCAUCAUUUGACAUGAUUCUCUCCUGACAAAUCCAGCAUUUCACUGGGAAGAACAGGCAUUCAAAUCCUGAUGGAAUCAGGCUGUUAAGAGAAAUACAGUUAUGAAGCACAGCUGAAGCCUGAGCCUAAAAACAUUCCCUUCAUUUCUUCAGAUGUCCUAGGCCUCUUCUGUCAACCACCAUUACUUCAAGGCUAAGAAGAUAUAUUCUAGAAAAAAUAUUUCUCCUAUUAAACUGAGAGAGGGCCAUGAAGCCACGGUGAGACACCCUGUCAAACUUGUGUAGAAUUUCUGUGAGCCCCUGGGAUCCUGUUUCAGAAGAUGAAGCAUGUAAUCCACUUUUGCUGCUUGAAAAUAGGAUGAUACUCAUCUCUGGGUAGAAAUUGUGCAAGUACAAUUAACACUGAUGGAAAAAAAAUUAUUCAACACAUGGGGGAAAAAUAAAAUGUGAAUAGUUGAGGAUCUUCUUGC